rnacentral:rRNA from 1 species
GACGAACGCUGGCGGCGUGCCUAAUACAUGCAAGUCGAACGCAUUUUCUUUCACCGUAGCUUGCUACACCGAAAGAAAAUGAGUGGCGAACGGGUGAGUAACACGUGGGUAACCUGCCCAUCAGCGGGGGAUAACACUUGGAAACAGGUGCUAAUACCGCAUAAUUCCAUUUACCGCAUGGUAGAUGGGUGAAAGGCGCUUUCGCGUCACUGAUGGAUGGACCCGCGGUGCAUUAGCUAGUUGGUGGGGUAACGGCCUACCAAGGCUGCGAUGCAUAGCCGACCUGAGAGGGUGAUCGGCCACACUGGGACUGAGACACGGCCCAGACGCCUACGGGAGGCAGCAGUAGGGAAUCUUCGGCAAUGGACGCAAGUCUGACCGAGCAACGCCGCGGGAGUGAAGAAGGUUUUCGGAUCGGAAAACUCUGUUGUUAGAGAAGAACAAGGAUGAGAGUGGAAAGUUCAUCCCUUGACGGUAUCUAACCAGAAAGCCACGGCUAACUACGUG